AUUGAACGCUGGCGGCAUGCCUUACACAUGCAAGUCGAACGGUAACGGGCCUUCGGGUGCCGACGAGUGGCGCACGGGUGAGUAACACAUCGGAACGUGCCCGAUCGUGGGGGAUAACGAGGCGAAAGCUUUGCUAAUACCGCAUACGAUCUACGGAUGAAAGCAGGGGACCGCAAGGCCUUGCGCGGACGGAGCGGCCGAUGGCAGAUUAGGUAGUUGGUGGGAUAAAAGCUUACCAAGCCGACGAUCUGUAGCUGGUCUGAGAGGAUGAUCAGCCACACUGGGACUGAGACACGGCCCAGACUCCUACGGGAGGCAGCAGUGGGGAAUUUUGGACAAUGGGCGCAAGCCUGAUCCAGCCAUGCCGCGUGCAGGAUGAAGGCCUUCGGGUUGUAAACUGCUUUUGUACGGAACGAAAAGCCUUCUUUUAAUACAGGAGGGUCAUGACGGUACCGUAAGAAUAAGCACCGGCUAACUACGUG
rnacentral:rRNA from 1 species